CCUGAACGCUGGCGGCGUGGCUAAGACAUGCAAGUCGUACGGUGUAGCAAUACACAGUGGCGAACGGGUGAGUAAUGAAUCGCUAAUGUGCCCCGGACUCUGGGAUAGCCGACCGAAAGGGCGGGUAAUACCAGAUGAGACCACGAACAGGCAUCUGUUUGUGCUCAAAGGUCCGCCGGUCUGGGAGCAGGCGAUUUCGUAUCAGCUAGUUGGUGAGGAACGGCUCACCAAGGCGACGACGCGUAGCCGGACUGAGAGGUUGACCGGCCACAUCGGGACUGAGACACUGCCCGGACUCCUACGGGGGGCUGCAGUAACGAAUCUUCCGCAAUGCACGAAAGUGUGACGGAGCGACGCCGCGUGUA
rnacentral:rRNA from 1 species